CCCAAGCAGACCAAGAAACCAGCGAGGGACCGGACAUAUCCUGCUUUCAUGAUGGCGUACUGCAUGCCUCUCUCCGAAAAAGACCUCCAAUGCCCCACGUGCCACGAGGUGUUCGUUCUCCCCGUCACGCUGAAAUGCAGCCACACCAUUUGCAAAGUCUGCGUGGAGAAACAUUGGGAGUGGAACGGAGCUCGAGAGUGCCCGGUGUGUCGCGCGGUGUCUCCCACGGAGAAGCCCGCCAUCAACCUGGCGCUGAAGAUGGCCUCCGACUCCUUCAAGCAGCGCAAGCUGGGCCUGAACGCCGAGCCCCUGUGCGACCUCCACGGCGAGCAGCUGAAGGUCUUCUGCCUGACCGAGGAGGAACCCAUCUGUGUGGUUUGCCAAGUGUCAAAUAAACACAGCCGCCAUUCCUACUGUCCAGUGGAAGAAGCCGCUUCGGAAAGAAAGCGUGAAAUUUCAGCCCGGCUGACCCCGCUCCAGAAACAACUGAAAGCCUUGAACGCAACUAAAGAAGACUGGAUAGAAACGGAACUAUACAUAAAGAUCCAGGCUGACAAAACUGACAGACAGAUAAAGAAGGAAUUUGAGACGUUGCACACCUUUCUUUGGGAGGAAGAGGCAGCCAGGUUGGCCGUCCUGCGAGAGGAGGAAAUAAAGAAAGCUCAAAUUGUGAAGAAAAGGCUGGAGAAUAUUACAAAAACUAUUGCUGUCCUGUCGGACACCAUCGACAAAUUUCAGAAGUCUGUAGAAACUGACAACUUGUCAUUCCUGCGGGACUUCAAGCAGACAAAGAGCAGAAUGUUAUAUAGAACGCCAGAGGUAGAGAGAAUUCCUGGAGCUCUGAUAGAUGUGCCCAAGCACCUGGGCUUGCUGAAAUUCAACGUCUGGAAGAAGAUGUUGGAAACAAUCAAUCACACUCCGAUCACUAUGGACCCCAACACGGCACAUCCGAAUCUGACCUUCACUCAGGAGCUGAGUAACGUGAGGUACAGCAGCAAGAACCAGACGCCCAACAAUCCCGAGCGCUGCACCAGCCGCAUGGCGGUCCUGGGGGCUGAGGGCUUCGCCUCGGCCCGGCGCACCUGGGACGUGGAGGUCGGGGAGAACAGGGACUGGUGCAUCGGGGUGGCCCAAGUCUCCAUCCAGAGGAAGAAGAGCGUCUUCCUGAACCCGGAGGAGGGGUUCUGGACCAUUAGCCUCUGUAACGGAGAAGUGUACUGGGCCCAGACCGCGCCCCGUACGCGCCUCACACUGAAGUCCAGGCCCAGGAGGAUCACCGUCGACCUGGACUACGAGAAAGGGAAGGUGGCUUUCCUCGACGCCGAUAGCCUGGCGCCCAUUUACACUUUCAAGCACAAGUUCACCGAGAAACUUUUCCCGUAUUUUUCACCUGGAGUUCACGUGGAGGGGAAAAGUCUGAGCCCACUUAAAGUCUGCCCUUUGACAGUGUCUGUAGUUAUUCAAUAAAUCUAGAGAGGGUAGUAGUAGUAGUAGUAGUAGUAGUUGUAAUGGUAGUGGUAAACGCAGCAGUAACAUUAUUCCUAAUGUCCUCAUUCAGGGUGACUGGACGUUAAAAUGUUUCUUCAUAGUAACUUGACUGUUAUUCGGAAAAACAUCCAUGGUUUUAAGUACCUUUCUGAAAGGCUGAGAUCUGGAAUCUGAGUCGCAGCGUAUUUGAGUUUAGCUAUGUUGUAGUAACCUCUAACCCUUAGUGCUGCCCAGAUUCUGCUAAAGAAGACAAAAGGCAAACAGACAGCCCCUGGUGCAGGACAUUACAAGAAUGCAUUUAAUAAUGAAAGACAAUGGAGAAUAUUGUGUCUACAAAUUGCAGUGAGCUUAUAGUGCGUUUGGGAUAUCAUUAGACAUACAGAUAGUAUAGAGACCAUAGGCAAAACUAUGGUCUUCAGAGCAAUCUCAGAAGCUGGGUUACUACUUAGUCUUUUUGUUGGUUGUAUAAAAAAAUGUGACCACACUUAACAAAUUGAUGAUGUUUUUCAAGUAAGUACUAUUCUGUUUAGAACUAGGUGUAGCCAAGCAUACAGAACAUUAUUUUGGCUUGGCACAAAAUGUGUCAAAUACCAGGGUAGACUUAAAAAACACUGUACUCACGACCCAGAAGGGGUGGUGAAUGGAGAAUAUAGUGGCAUUUUCAGAUGAUACUGCCUUAAAAAUCAAACCGACAAACAGGUCUUGUUUGCUAUUUUCUCAAAAGGCUGUUUGUUUUGUCUUGGGGCUCCAGGCAGUCAGGGUUAUUUCUGAAAUGCAGUGUUAACAGUUUUUUCUUUGUUGGUUUUUGAUAAAAUUGACUUUCUGUGAGCUAUAAGUCACCAUUAUUUUUGGAGUUAAGGUAGGGUGGUGUUUGCAUAAAGGUAUUCUUGGACUGUGUAAGUAUCUGAGCAAUGCAAUGGACUGGCAAUUUAUCCGACUUCCAACACACAAUGGAAAACCAAAGAAAACCACAAUUUCAGCACAGGUACCUUAAAUUACACAUUUGACAUGACAUAGAUUAAAAAUUAUCCACUCUAGGGAUGAGACAAAUAAUCAGUUUUUGUAAACUGAUACCCUCCCAUAAUUAAAACGGUUAACUGUAUAACCGACACAGCUUAUGACCGCUAGGGGUCGUAUCUUUUAGUUUCUUUUUUUUUUUAACUGUACUGACAAAUUUAAUUGCAUUUUCAAACUUUAUUUUGGGCCAUCUUAAUAGGUAACAUUGUAAGUCAGAUAAUUCAAGAUUUACAUUUAAAUUGACAUCGUGCAGUGUAACCUCACAGUUAAAUCCAUGUAGCGUCCAGGCAUGAUGCUCGUUUCAUUUUUCUAAAAAUGCAUCGGUUAAUUAUUAAAAUAAUAAUUCUUCAUGUUUUCAUCCUAUGGCGUCUGCCUGACAGACUUGAUUGCCAUGAAAUCUGCAAAUGCUGCUGUUAAGAACUUUGUUACAGACGGGGUUGUGAACAGACAACUGUGCUUGAACUCCUCCUCUUGUGUUUAUGCCGCUGAAACUCUCCUGCGUUACUGCCGCGAGUAGGCUCCGCGUCUCACAAACGACACAUCUCAGCACUCGCAACUUCAAAGGAUUCAGUGCUUUCCCGCUGUACAUAUGCAUAGACGGCGGCAGUGGCGGACUAACUUAAAGGUGCAAUAGUGCCCCGCAGUGGUGAAAAGUCUUUUUCAUUUAAUAUUUUUAUUUUUUCUAUCUACUGCAUAUCUGACAGCAACACAGGGGGUUCAGGCUCAAUUGAUACCUUGGACCCUGUGUAGUGCAACUGACUACUGAUUUACCUGGUAUGCAGUAUCUCACACACACACACACACACACACACACACACACACACACACACACACACACACACACACACACACACACACACACACACACACACACACACACACACACACACACACACACACACACACACACACACACACACACUCGUGGCCCUCAGAGCUCGCUGUGCCUCUGCUGCACCAUCUCCGGCACCGUCUGGGUCAUGAAGACAAAGUGGUUCCCUUUCAGCCGCUGACCCACUCUCUGCUCCAGCCCGAGGCCCAGGUACUCCUCCCUCUCUCCGUACUGCGGCCACUCCACCAAACCCUCUCCAUUGGGAGACCUGCAGCACACAGGUGAGACACACACAGGUGACACACACACACACACACAGGUGAGACACAGGUGACACACACACACACACACAGGUGACAC